UACGUAGGGUGCGAGCGUUAAUCGGAAUUACUGGGCGUAAAGCGUGCGCAGGCGGUUGUGCAAGACCGAUGUGAAAUCCCCGGGCUUAACCUGGGAAUGGCAUUGGUGACUGCACGGCUAGAGUGUGUCAGAGGGGGGUAGAAUUCCACGUGUAGCAGUGAAAUGCGUAGAGAUGUAGAGGAAUACCGAUGGCGAAGGCAGCCCCCUGGGAUAACACUGACGCUCAUGCACGAAAGCGUGGGGAGCAAACAGG
rnacentral:rRNA from 1 species